rnacentral:rRNA from 1 species
UACGAAGGGGGCUAGCGUUGCUCGGAAUUACUGGGCGUAAAGCGCACGUAGGCGGAUUGUUAAGUCGGGGGUGAAAUCCUGGAGCUCAACUCCAGAACUGCCUUCGAUACUGGCGAUCUCGAGUUCGGGAGAGGUGAGUGGAACUGCGAGUGUAGAGGUGAAAUUCGUAGAGUAUUCGCAAGAACACCAGUGGCGAAGGCGGCUCACUGGCCCGAUACUGACGCUGAGGUGCGAAAGCGUGGGGAGCAAACAGG